CGACAGCAAUAUGAAGGUCAGGCUGAAGACCUUACCCGAUUAGCUGAGAGGUGGUGCAUGGCCGUCGUCAGUUCGUACUGUGAAGCAUCCUGUUAAGUCAGGCAACGAGCGAGACCCACGUCCACAGUUGCCAGCAUACCCUCCGGGGUGAUGGGUACACUGUGGAGACCGCCGCUGCUAAAGCGGAGGAAGGAGUGGGCAACGGUAGGUCAGUAUGCCCCGAAUCUCCCGGGCUACACGCGGGCUACAAUGGUUGGUACAAUGGGCAUCUACCCUGAAAGGGGAAGGAAAUCUCUUAAAGCCAAUCGUAGUUCGGAUUGAGGGCUGCAACUCGCCCUCAUGAAGCUGGAAUCCGUAGUAAUCGCCGUUUCAACAGAACGCGGUGAAUACGUCCUGCUCCUU
rnacentral:rRNA from 1 species